AGAAUCAACGCUGGCGGCGUGCCUAACACAUGCAAGUUGAGCGCUUGAGGGGGGCAACCCCCAAGAGAGCAGCGAACGGGUGAGUAACGCGUGGGUGAUCUUCCUUCGAGUGGGGAACAACAUCGGGAAACUGGUGCUAAUUCCGCAUAACACCUUGGGGCUACGAGCCUCAAGAUCGAAGCCGGGGACCGUAAGGCCUGGCGCUUGAAGAUGAGCCCGCGUCCAAUUAGCUAGUUGGCGGGGUAAUGGCCCACCAAGGCUUCGAUCGGUAGCCGGCCUGAGAGGGCGACGGCCACGACUGGAACUGAGACACGGUCCAGACUCUACGGAGCAGCAGUGGGAAUUUUCGCAAUGGGCGCAAGCCUGACGAAGCAACGCCGCGUGGAGGAUGAAGGUCUUCGGAUUGUAAACUCCUGUCGACCGGACGAAUGCACCCGACCUAAUACGUCGAAGUGUUAGACGGUACCGGUGGAAGGAAGCCACGGCUAACUCUGUGCCAGCAGCCG
rnacentral:rRNA from 1 species